rnacentral:rRNA from 1 species
AGAGUUUGAUCCUGGCUCAGGACGAACGCUGGCGGCGUGCUUCAGACAUGCAAGUCGAGCGGGCGGAGGCCGAACCGCAAGGGGAGGCCGAAGCUAGCGGCGAACGGGUGAGUAACACGUGGGUAAUCUACCCGGAAGACUGGGAUAACGGCCCGAAAGGGCCGCUAAUACCGGAUAAUAUCGCAGUUUCGCAUGAGGCCGCGAAGAAAGGCGAAAGCCACUUUCGGAUGAGCUCGCGACCCAUCAGCUAGUUGGUGAGGUAAUGGCCCACCAAGGCGACGACGGGUAACCGGUCUGAGAGGAUGAUCGGUCACACUGGGACUGAGAUACGGCCCAGACUCCUACGGGAGGCAGCAGUCGGGAAUAUUGGGCAAUGGGCGAAAGCCUGACCCAGCGACGCCGCGUGAGGGACGAAGGCCUUCGGGUCGUAAACCUCUGUCAUCGGGGACGAAGGAAGUGACGGUACCCGAGGAGGAAGCCCCUGCUAACUACGUGCCAGCAGCCGCGGUAAUACGUAGGGGGCGAGCGUUGUCCGGAGUUAUUGGGCGUAAAGGGCGUGUAGGCGGCCUGUUAAGUCAGGUGUGAAAUUUCAGGGCUUAACCCUGAAACUGCGCUUGAAACUGGCAGGCUUGAGGACAGGAGAGGGAAGUGGAAUUCCCGGUGUAGCGGUGGAAUGCGUAGAUAUCGGGAGGAACACCAGUGGCGAAGGCGGCUUCCUGGACUGUACCUGACGCUGAGGCGCGAAAGCUAGGGGAGCAAACAGGAUUAGAUACCCUGGUAGUCCUAGCCGUAAACGAUGAGUGCUAGGUGUGGGGGGUUUAAAUCCCUCCGUGCCGGAGUUAACGCAAUAAGCACUCCGCCUGGGGAGUACGGCCGCAAGGCUAAAACUCAAAGGAAUUGACGG